ACUGGGCUGAUCCUUCUUACAGAUGUGUCUGCCACUGCAGCUGACGUUGAGACAACUCUCAGUCUUCCUGCAAGUCCUCGCCUGAUACUGCCUGUUUCAGGUGCAACAGGGCAAGUCACAAUUAAGGGUUGGAUGAUCACCUUUGAGGGCCGUGUAAUCUCUGAGGGCAUCACACCAACAUUUGCAACGGGACUUGCUGCUAUGUUUGCAAUCUACUACAUAUUGAACCUUCAGUAUCAAGAAGAGGCAGCCUGCACUCUGGAAUUCAUUCAGAGACGCUUCAUUGGUAUAAAUCCAGAGAGAGGGACAAAGGCCAAAAGGGGCAAGGUUGUCUCUAAGAAGAAAGGUGUAAUCGUCCAGAAGAAGUCUUCUGCAGUCAAUACACACGUCGCCACGCUACUGAAGAAUCUCCUUGACUUUGAAUGGAACUUCAUAUAGAUUGUGGAAGUACUGGAAUAAUGCUGCACAGAGGAACAGC